AUGGCAGACGGUAAGAAAUCCAGCUCCGGCUUCUGGGCGACGGUGGCGUCUUGCUUUCGCCCACCCAAGGCGGUGGCAAGCACCGCCGGCCGGACCACCACGUAUGAUCCAGUCGCGGGGAUGGUCGCGGCGGCCAAACAUUUCUCCGGUGCUCACAAGAUAAACUUUGGAUGA
rnacentral:rRNA from 1 species